rnacentral:rRNA from 1 species
GUGUCAGCAGCCGCGGUAAUACGGAGGGUGCGAGCGUUGUCCGGAAUCACUGGGCGUAAAGGGCGCGUAGGCGGCGCGGAAAGUCGUCGGUGAAAGCUCAGGGCUCAACUCUGAGUCUGCCGGUGAUACUCCCGCGCUCGAGCUCACUAGAGGCAGAUGGAAUUCCGGGUGUAGCGGUGGAAUGCGUAGAGAUCCGGAAGAACACCGGUGGCGAAGGCGGUCUGCUGGGGUGAGGCUGACGCUGAUGCGCGACAGCGUGGGGAGCAAACAGGAUUAGAAACCCCCGUAGUCC